AGUUGACCGCCUGGGGAGUACGGCCGCAAGGUUAAAACUCAAAGGAAUUGACGGGGGCCCGCACAAGCGGUGGAGCAUGUGGUUUAAUUCGAUGCAACGCGAGGAACCUUACCUGCCCUUGACAUUGACAGAACCCUGCAGAGAUGCGGGGGUGCCUUCGGGCCUGGAAAACAGGUGCUGCAUGGCUGUCGUCAGCUCGUGUCGUGGGAUGUUGGGUUAAGUCCCGCAACGAGCGCAACCCUUGUCCUUAGUUGCCAUCAUUCAGUUGGGCACUCUAAGGAGACUGCCGGUGACAAACCGGAGGAAGGUGGGGAUGACGUCAAGUCAUCAUGGCCUUUAUGGGCAGGGCUACACACGUGCUACAAUGGCCGGUACAGAGGGUUGCCAACCCGCGAGGGGGAGCUAAUCUCACAAAGCCGGUCGUAGUCCGGAUUGCAGUCUGCAACUCGUCUGCAUGAAGUCGGAAUCGCUAGUAAUCGCAGAUCAGCAUGCUGCGGUGGAUACGUUCCCGGGCCUUGUACACACCGCCCGUCACACCAUGGGAGUGGGUUGCAAAAGAAGUAGGUAGCU
rnacentral:rRNA from 1 species